rnacentral:snRNA from 1 species
AGCUUUGCGCAGUGGCAGUAUCGUAGCCGAUGAGGUUUAUCCGAGGCGCGAUUAUUGCUAAUUGAAACCAAUACCCCGCCGUGACGACUUGAGAUAGAGUUGGCAUUUUUUACUUUUUUUUUUUUUUAAGUAAGAAAAAA